AUUGAACGCUGGCGGCAGGCCUAACACAUGCAAGUCGAGCGCGAAAUUUCCUUCGGGAAUGAGUAGAGCGGCGGACGGGUGAGGAACGCGUAGGAAUCUACCUAGUAGUGGGGGACAACAAUCGGAAACGGUUGCUAAUACCGCAUAAGCCCUAAGGGGGAAAGCAGGGGAUCUUCGGACCUUGCGCUAUUGGAUGAGCCUGCGUCGGAUUAGCUAGUUGGUGGGGUAAUAGCCUACCAAGGCAACGAUCCGUAGCUGGUCUGAGAGGAUGAUCAGCCACACUGGGACUGAGACACGGCCCAGACUCCUACGGGAGGCAGCAGUGGGGAAUAUUGGACAAUGGGCGCAAGCCUGAUCCAGCCAUGCCGCGUGUGUGAAGAAGGCUCUAGGGUUGUAAAGCACUUUCAGUAGGGAGGAAAAGUUAGUAGUUAAUAACUGCUAACCCUGACGUUACCUACAGAAGAAGCACCGGCAAACUCCGUGCCAGCAGCCGCGGUAAUACGGAGGGUGCGAGCGUUAAUCGGAAUUACUGGGCGUAAAGCGCGCGUAGGCGGUUUGAUAAGCUGGAUGUGAAAGCCCUGGGCUCAACCUGGGAAUUGCAUCCAGAACUGUCUGACUAGAGUACAGUAGAGGUGAGUGGAAUUUCCUGUGUAGCGGUGAAAUGCGUAGAUAUAGGAAGGAACAUCAGUGGCGAAGGCGACUCACUGGACUGAUACUGACC
rnacentral:rRNA from 1 species